UAUAGUGUAUAAGAGGUCAGGCUGGGCCUAAUAUAAUGUAUAAGAGGUCAGGCUGGGCCUAAUAUAGUGUAUAAGAGGUCAGGCUGGGCCUAAUAUAGUGUAUAAGAGGUCAGGCUGGGCCUAAUAUAGUGUAUAAGAGGACAGGCUGGGCCUAAUAUAGUGUAUAAGAGGACAGGCUGGGCCUAAUAUAGUGUAUAAGAGGACAGGCUGGGCCUAAUAUAGUGUAUAAGAGGACAGGCUGGGCCUAAUAUAGUGUAUAAGAGGACAGGCUGGGCCUAAUAUAGUGUAUAAGAGGUCAGGCUGGGCCUAAUAUAGUGUAUAAGAGGUCAGGCUGGGCCUAAUAUAGUGUAUAAGAGGUCAGGCUGGGCCUAAUAUAGUGUAUAAGAGGUCAGGCUGGGCCUAAUAUAGUGUAUAAGAGGACAGGCUGGGCCUAAUAUAGUGUAUAAGAGGACAGGCUGGGCCUAAUAUAGUGUAUAAGAGGACAGGCUGGGCCUAAUAUAGUGUAUAAGAGGACAGGCUGGGCCUAAUAUAGUGUAUAAGAGGACAGGCUGGGCCUAAUAUAGUGUAUAAGAGGUCAGGCUGGGCCUAAUAUAGUGUAUAAGAGGACAGGCUGGGCCUAAUAUAGUGUAUAAGAGGACAGGCUGGGCCUAAUAUAGUGUAUAAGAGGUCAGGCUGGGCCUAAUAUAGUGUAUAAGAGGUCAGGCUGGGCCUAAUAUAGUGUAUAAGAGGACAGGCUGGGCCUAAUAUAGUGUAUAAGAGGACAGGCUGGGCCUAAUAUAGUGUAUAAGAGGACAGGCUGGGCCUAAUAUAGUGUAUAAGAGGACAGGCUGGGCCUAAUAUAGUGUAUAAGAGGACAGGCUGGGCCUAAUAUAGUGUAUAAGAGGACAGGCUGGGCCUAAUAUAGUGUAUAAGAGGACAGGCUGGGCCUAAUAUAGUGUAUAAGAGGUCAGGCUGGGCCUAAUAUAGUGUAUAAGAGGUCAGGCUGGGCCUAAUAUAGUGUAUAAGAGGACAGGCUGGGCCUAAUAUAGUGUAUAAGAGGACAGGCUGGGCCUAAUAUAGUGUAUAAGAGGACAGGCUGGGCCUAAUAUAGUGUAUAAGAGGACAGGCUGGGCCUAAUAUAGUGUAUAAGAGGACAGG